CCUACGGGAGGCAGCAGUGGGGAAUAUUGGACAAUGGGGGGAACCCUGAUCCAGCGACGCCGCGUGAGUGAAGAAGUAUUUCGGUAUUUAAAGCUCUAUCAGCAGGGAAGAAAGAAAUGACGGUACCUGACUAAGAAGCCCCGGCUAACUACGGGCCAGCAGCCGCGGUAAUACGUAGGGGGCAAGCGUUAUCCGGAUUUACUGGGUGUAAAGGGAGCGUAGACGGGGAUGCAAGUCUGAAGUGAAAGGCGGGGGCCCAACCCCUGGACUGCCUUGGAAACUGUAUGGCUGGAGUGGAGGAGAGGUAAGUGGAAUUCCUAGUGUAGCGGUGAAAUGCGUAGAUAUUAGGCGGAACACCAGUGGCGAAGGCGGCUGACUGGACUGUAACUGACGUUGAGGCUCGAAAGCGUGGGGAGCAAACAGGAUUAGAUACCCUUGUAGUC
rnacentral:rRNA from 1 species